ACGAAAGUCUGACGGAGCAACGCCGCGUGAGUGAUGAAGGUUUUCGGAUCGUAAAGCUCUGUUGUUAGGGAAGAACAAGUGCGAGAGUAACUGCUCGCACCUUGACGGUACCUAACCAGAAAGCCACGGCUAACUACGUGCCAGCAGCCGCGGUAAUU
rnacentral:rRNA from 1 species